GUUCCUGGAUCUUCCAGAGCCUGGGGAGUUUUCCUCUUCCUUGGAUUCCAGGAGAUAUGUUAAUAUUCUUUUAAUAAAUGCCUUUUUUGUGUAGAAAUGCUUGUUUGGUUUCUGAUAGUUGUAACCUAAAAAAUCUUUAGUAAGCCAUUGGUCUGCUGUGGGGAGCGUCGAGAUGAAACUGGAACGUUGUUUGAACCUAGAUCAUAAAGUGACUCCAACAUCUUCAUACCAGGGAGAGGAGGAAGCUGUGCUGUGAAGGAUCCUUUUUCAUCAUGAUUAUUGCAUCCACAGAAGCAGUGAUAAAUUCUAACAGAUAAUGCAACUCAGUCUACUUGGAUGUUCACACCUGAGACUGGAGAAGACCUGCUGCCUUCUGCAGAGCCAAACAUUCCUCACAUGCUCCUCCACAAUGCUCCUUACACUGGUCUACCUAAAGAAAACCUCUACAGACAAAGGAGAUGAGCCCAGCAUGGCUUGUUUACAGUGAAUCUAAGCAGAUUCCUCAUCUGUUCUGGGAUACGUGCGUCGAGAUUGCCAGACUGUGGAUAAAAUCUCCCCUCAUGAGUUUUUGCUUCUUUUGGGAGUGUCAGCAUCUAGCCAGCCCUUUAAUGUCUUUCAGGACAAAACCACAGUCCUUAGCAAAGCAUAUAAGAUCUUGAAGACUUGUUCCUGCCAGCAAUGGUUAGGGGUGCUUUCAUCUGCAAGUAAUAAGACAUUCAAUCAACAGUGGCUCCAAUCAGUGCUUCUUAAGCUCUAGUAAACCUUCCAAUCACCAGGGCUUCUUAUUAAAAUGCACAUUCUGAUUUAGGAGGUUGGAGUGGGGGCCUGAGAUUCUGCAUUUCUAACAAGCUCCCAGGUGAUGCUGAUUCUGCUGGUCUAAGGCAAACUUGUGAAUAGCAAGAGCUUAAAAAGACCUUUAAAAGAUGGAGUUUUCUGCCUCUCACAUAACAAGAAAUCCGAAAGUUGUUCUACACUUGAUUCAGAAGAUCAACAAUGUCAUUGCUCUGGGAUUGGCAGAUCAGGGAGUAGCAAAUUAUGCCCCAAAGGCCAAAUCUAGUCCAACAAUUGCUUUUGUAAAUAAAGUUUUAUUGGAACAC
ensembl:lncRNA LINC03004 long intergenic non-protein coding RNA 3004